UACGUAGGUGGCAAGCGUUGUCCGGAGUUAUUGGGCGUAAAGCGCGCGCAGGCGGUCCUUUAAGUCUGAUGUGAAAUCCCGUGGCUUAACCACGGGCGGUCAUUGGAAACUGGGGGACUUGAGUGCAGAAGAGAAGAGCGGAAUUCCACGUGUAGCGGUGAAAUGCGUAGAGAUGUGGAGGAACACCAGUGGCGAAGGCGGCUCUUUGGUCUGUAACUGACGCUGAGGCGCGAAAGCGUGGGGAGCGAACAGG
rnacentral:rRNA from 1 species